AUAUCUUGGAUGUAUAUAUUAUAAAGGUUCUGUCUGCUGAUUAUUGCCUCAAAACUGAUUCGUAGGGCUGUUGCCGAUAAUUCCGGUGGUGGAGUCUAUGUGCAGAUGCAUCGGGAAGUUGCGAUGAUAAUUGGCCUCCGUAUACAACAAACUGGAACCAAUUUGGUUCCUAGCUUUUUCUCUUUUAACCAGAAGUAAUCGAGUGAUUCUGGACUUUAAGGGUUGCUAAAAUACAACACAGAUCUAGCGAAGCAUAUAUAGGAAAGAAGAUUAUAUUUUCCAAUGAUAUGGGUGAUUGCCUGCUGUGUUGUAGAUGUAUGUUGGGACAGGUCAUGGGAAACUGGAAUUUACAACUGAGAUGCUGGCUGAGGUCUUCCAAGAGAAUGAUAAUGCCCCCUGACUGGAAUUGCCACAGUCAGGUUAUAGGUCAAAACUUCUGAAAGGUUUGCUGUACUUUCAUUGUAUUUCUCCAGUGAUAAAUUAUGUCAAUGUGGAGGAUUUCUACCUGGGCCUCCACUGGAAAUGGGAUAUUGUCACGGUCAG